AGACAACAGGACCAGAAGUUCACUUGGCACGUGCUGGAGAAGUUCAGCAGCAGAAUCCAAGGCUAGUUUGCAAGAUGGAGGGAGGUGGAAUAGGAGCAGAGGUUGAGUCAGACGCACGCGGGAAGGAGUACGCACAAAGCUCAUAUUAAAGGAGAGUCCGAAACUGGAGGACAUAGGUUCAAGGUAAAAGGAGAAAAUUUAAAGAGGACAUGAGGGGCAAAUUUUUCAUGCAGAGACUGAUCACUAUCAACGCAUUGUUGAAAAAUUGUGUAACUCAAGACAGGAAGAUGCAACAAUGUAAGGACUGUGCCUGUUGUUGCAGAGAAGUGGGACAAACAGUUGGAUUUUAUUCAUCUACAGCACUCUAUCAAUUCACAUAUUUACAGUUACAUCCUACUUGAACUAGAAUACUGGUGCUUAAGAAAUAAAAACUAUUGGCUACAUUUAGAAUAAGAUAGAUCUAAACUUGAAGGAGAACACAAUAUAAAUUUAGCUUACACGAGGAAAUCUGCAGAU